rnacentral:lncRNA from 1 species
AGCAAAUGCACCAUUUAGAAUCCCACAAACAACGCGCAAGGAUUCCUAUUACUCCACAUGCUCUCCAACACUUAUUAUUUUCUGUUUUUUUUUUCCUUUUUUAUAGUGAGCCUCUUAAUGGAUGAGGUGGUAUCUCAUUGUGGUUCUGAUUUGCAUUUCCCUGAUGAUUAGUGAUGUUGAGCAUCUUUUCUUGUGUUUGUUGACCAUCUGUAUGUUUUCUGUGGAGAAAUGUCUAUUCAAGUCUGUUGCCCAAUUUAAAAUAAGAUUAUUUAGUUUUGUACUAUUGAGUUACAGGAGCU